rnacentral:rRNA from 1 species
GACGUAGGGGGCGAGCGUUGUCCGGAUUCAUUGGGCGUAAAGAGCGCGUAGGCGGCUUGGUAAGUCGGAUGUGAAAACCCGAGGCUCAACCUCGGGCGUGCAUCCGAAACUGCCCAGCUAGAGGUAGGUAGGGGAGAUCGGAAUUCCUGGUGUAGCGGUGAAAUGCGCAGAUAUCAGGAGGAACACCGGUGGCGAAGGCGGAUCUCUGGGCCUUACCUGACGCUCAGGCGCGAAAGCUAGGGGAGCGAACAGG